CAAUUGGUUUUUUUUAAAACCACCCAUGGACUGUGUCAAGGACCC
rfam:Amborella trichopoda AMTR_V1.0_contig_19595, whole genome shotgun sequence.